GGUAUGUAAAGCUCUAUCAGCAGGGGAGAAAAUGACGGUACUUGACUAAGAAGCCCCGGCUAACUACGUGCCAGCAGCCGCGGUAAUACGUAGGGGGCAAGCGUUAUCCGGAUUUACUGGGUGUAAAGGGAGCGUAGACGGCAGCGCAAGUCUGAAGUGAAAGCCCGGGGCUCAACCCCGGAAUGGCUUUGGAAACUGCGCGGCUAGAGUACCGGAGGGGUAAGCGGAAUUCCUAGUGUAGCGGUGAAAUGCGUAGAUAUUAGGAGGAACACCAGUGGCGAAGGCGGCUUACUGGACGGUAACUGACGUUGAGGCUCGAAAGCGUGGGGAGCAAACAGGAUUAGAUACCCUGGUAGUCCACGCGGUAAA
rnacentral:rRNA from 1 species